rfam:Rubrobacter radiotolerans strain RSPS-4, complete genome.
GCGAGAGUGGUGGAACGGUAGACACGCUAGAUUUAGGAUCUAGUGCCCUCGGGCGUGCGGGUUCAAAUCCCGCCUCUCGCA